rnacentral:snRNA from 1 species
GUACUUACCUGGUAGAGGAAACACCGUAAUCAGAAAGGUGGUUUUCCCAGGCUGAGGCACAUCCAUUGCACUUUGGGAUGUGCUGACCCCUGCAAUUUCCCCAAAUGUGGGAAACUCCACUGCAUAAUUUGUGGUUUGUGCUUUCCCAAGUUAAAA